rnacentral:rRNA from 1 species
GACGAACGCUGGCGGCGUGCUUAACACAUGCAAGUCGAGCGGUAAGGCCCUUUCGGGGGUACACGAGCGGCGAACGGGUGAGUAACACGUGGGUGACCUGCCCUCAGCUCUGGGAUAAGCCUGGGAAACCGGGUCUAAUAACUGGAUAUGACUCCAUGACGCAUGUUGGUGGGGUGGAAAGCCUUGUGCGGCUGAGGAUGGGCCCGCGGCCUAUCAGCUUGUUGGUGGGGUGANGGCCU